CCCCUCGGCCCCGCAAGGAUGGGGCGACUCGCACGCAGCGGAAUUGAACUCUCCAGGCCCCUCCUCGCCCCUCCGCUGGAUCCGCCUCCACCCUUCUCUCUCUCUCUAUUCCCCCAAUAGCUUCCAUCCAAGUGCUGGUGGAGGGAGACACACACGCACGCACACGCACGCACGCACACACGCACUCAGAACGCAGCAGUCUGUCCCAGGAGUGACCGUGACUCCCAGGCUGCGCUGACCCUAGCCUGUCCCCCUGAGGUCAGAGAGGGCACCGCGGUCCCUGGCGCACACGGCCCUGCUUCUCUGCGUUCCGCGGGCCUCUCCUGCCAGUGGACAGCCGUGGCACUGAUCGCAUGGUUCGGACAGAAAUGUGUGUCUACUUCCAUACGAGUGCGUGUGUCAGUGUGUCAGCUCCUAAGUCUGAGACACAGCCGGGUCACCGAGAGCGAGGGUCGGGUGGCCCGGUACUGCUGUGACAGGCUUACAUGCCUGCCCUCACGGGCGGAAGUGCGUGUCUCCCUGUGCUUCAGUCCAUGUCCGUGAGUCUGUGCCUCUCUCUGGACUCCAGCGCCCUUCUUUCUCUCGGUGUCUCCGUCGCUCAGGCCCUCUGCGUCUUCUCCGCAGCACCCACAGCCCUGGCGAACGGCUCCUCCCUUCCAGUCGUGGAGGGCCAAGCUCUGCGCCUGCUCUGUGCGGUCGACAGCCACCCCCCUGCCAGGUUGAGCUGGUCCUGGGGGAACCUGACUCUGUGCCCCUCCGAGCCCUCGAACCCUGGGGUACUGGAGCUGACCCCAGAGCACCUCAGGGGUGAAGGAGAAUUCACCUGCCGGGCCAGAACUCUCUGGGCUCCCAUCAGGUCUCGCUGAGCCUGUCCCUGCAGGGGAAACCAGGAUCCAUGGCCGAGGUGGUGCUGGUGACCAUUGUAGAGGUGGCUGUCAAGGUCCUGCUCCUUGGGCUCUGCCUCAUCUUCCUCAGGGUGAACUUGAAAAGGAAAAAGGCACCCGGGCCUGCAGCGAAGAUGCACACUGUCAUGGCUUAGCUCUCAGCCCUCAUCUCUUCCCUGGCCACUGAAUCCACCUCACUCACUCCUGCCUCGUCGCUCCCAACACCAGCCUCCGGCGUGUGUGUGCAGACAGUCAGAGUCCACUUGCUCCACAUUGCUCUCCGUGGAAAGAGACGAGUAGAUGCCGUUCCUGGACCAAGCCUUGCACGACCUGUGUCCUGCUGGACUCUGCUCCAGUGCCUCCUCUCCAUGCUGGAUGAAGCUGUCACCACAGCCACUGGCCAGGCCCUCUGGGACCUGAGACUGCGUGUGCAAUUCCUGUCCCUUCCACUUUUUGCCCACCCAAGGGCUGGUCACCCUUCAGGCUCGGUCUACAGUGUCAGUUAGGAGUGUGUGCCUAUGUGUGUGCAAUCCUUGGGUACGACUCUCGGUGGAGGAAUUCUCCACCACUUAUGAACUACUUUGGUGACUAAUGCUGGGCUCUUGCCAUAAGCUGAUGUUUUCAUGGUGCCAGGGAUGCCUCAGUGCCCGGAGCAACACAACCUUUGUCAUUGAGAAGCUGUCAUUCUAGAGAUAAGAGGAACGGAAAUAAAAGGAAAGAACCGAUCAACCAGGA